rnacentral:rRNA from 1 species
CAGAACGAACGCUGGCGGCGCGUCUAAAGCAUGCAAGUCGAGCGGCAAGGGCAGCAAUGCCCCUAGAGCGGCGGACUGGUGAGUAACGCGUGGGUGAUCUACCCUUUGGUUGGGGAUAGCCCCUAGAAAUAGGGGGUAAUACCGAAUACAGUUGUUUGAUUGUGAUUGAACAAAGAAAGGAGUUUCGGCUCCGCCAGAGGAUGGGCCCGCGUCCCAUUAGCUAGUUGGUGAGGUAAAGGCCCACCAAGGCUCUGAUGGGUAGCCGGCCUGAGAGGGUGUCCGGCCACACUGGGACUGAGAUACGGCCCAGACUCCUACGGGAGGCAGCAGCUAAGAAUAUUCCGCAAUGGCCGAAAGGCUGACGGAGCGACGCCGCGUGGAUGAUGAAGGCCGAAAGGUUGUAAAAUUCUUUUGUUGCUGAAGAAUAAGGCAGGGAGGGAAUGCCCUGCUGAUGACGUAGGCAACGAAUAAGCCCCG